rnacentral:rRNA from 1 species
UACGGGGGGAGCAAGCGUUGUUCGGAUUUACUGGGCGUAAAGGGCGCGUAGGCGGCCACGACAAGUCAGUUGUGAAAUCUCUGGGCUUAACUCGAGCAACGGUCAACUGAUACUGUCGGGCUAGAGUGCAGAAGGGGCAACUGGAAUUCUCGGUGUAGCGGUGAAAUGCGUAGAUAUCGAGAGGAACACCUGCGGCGAAGGCGGGUUGCUGGGCUGACACUGACGCUGAGGCGCGAAAGCUAGGGGAGCGAACGGG